AGGAAACAUUUUUCAUCCAGCGUCUGACUACAAUCAUGGUUAUGCCUUAAGAAAUUAACUUAGCAAUAGAGGAGAAGACAAGUUAUAUGUAGAAGAAAAUUAACAACAGGUUGAUACAAUCACUCAAACAGAAGUAAGAAGAACAACAAUAAUAUUAAAAAUUGAAAGAGUUUUAGAGAAUGUAGAACUGAUAAUUAAACAUAUAGAGGGAGUAAGAGGAAGAGAAAGUA
rnacentral:lncRNA from 1 species